rnacentral:rRNA from 1 species
AUGAACGCUAGCUACAGGCUUAACACAUGCAAGUCGAGGGGCAGCAUGGUCUUAGCUUGCUAAGGCCGAUGGCGACCGGCGCACGGGUGAGUAACACGUAUCCAACCUGCCGUCUACUCUUGGACAGCCUUCUGAAAGGAAGAUUAAUACAAGAUGGCAUCAUGAGUCCGCAUGUUCACAUGAUUAAAGGUAUUCCGGUAGACGAUGGGGAUGCGUUCCAUUAGAUAGUAGGCGGGGUAACGGCCCACCUAGUCUUCGAUGGAUAGGGGUUCUGAGAGGAAGGUCCCCCACAUUGGAACUGAGACACGGUCCAAACUCCUACGGGAGGCAGCAGUGAGGAAUAUUGGUCAAUGGGCGAGAGCCUGAACCAGCCAAGUAGCGUGAAGGAUGACUGCCCUAUGGGUUGUAAACUUCUUUUAUAAAGGAAUAAAGUCGGGUAUGGAUACCCGUUUGCAUGUACUUUAUGAAUAAGGAUCGGCUAACUCCGUGCCAGCAGCCGCGGUAAUACGGAGGAUCCGAGCGUUAUCCGGAUUUAUUGGGUUUAAAGGGAGCGUAGAUGGAUGUUUAAGUCAGUUGUGAAAGUUUGCGGCUCAACCGUAAAAUUGCAGUUGAUACUGGAUAUCUUGAGUGCAGUUGAGGCAGGCGGAAUUCGUGGUGUAGCGGUGAAAUGCUUAGAUAUCACGAAGAACUCCGAUUGCGAAGGCAGCCUGCUAAGCUGCAACUGACAUUGAGGCUCGAAAGUGUGGGUAUCAAACAGGAUUAGAUACCCUGGUAGUCCACACGGUAAACGAUGAAUACUCGCUGUUUGCGAUAUACUGCAAGCGGCCAAGCGAAAGCGUUAAGUAUUCCACCUGGGGAGUACGCCGGCAACGGUGAAACUCAAAGGAAUUGACGGGGGCCCGCACAAGCAGUGGAGUAUGUGGUUUAAUUCGAAGCAACGCGAAGAACCUUACCAGGGCUUGACAUCCCACGGCUGGAAUUAGAGAUAGUUCUUUCCCUUCGGGGACUGUGGUGACAGGUGGUGCAUGGUUGUCGUCAGCUCGUGUCGUGAGAUGUUGGGUUAAGUCCCGCAACGAGCGCAACCCUUACUGUUAGUUGCUACGCAAGAGCACUCUAGCAGGACUGCCGUUGACAAAACGGAGGAAGGUGGGGAUGACGUCAAAUCAUCAUGCCCCUUAUGACCUGGGCUACACACGUACUACAAUGGCGUUUAACAAAGAGAAGCAAGACCGCGAGGUGGAGCAAAACUCAAAAACAACGUCUCAGUUCAGAUUGCAGGCUGCAACUCGCCUGCAUGAAGUCGGAAUUGCUAGUAAUCGCGGAUCAGCAUGCCGCGGUGAAUACGUUCCCGGGCCUUGUACACACCGCCCGUCACACCACCCGAGUCGUCUGCACCCGAAGCCGCCGGCCGAACCCUUCUGGGGCGGAGGCGUCGAAGGUGUGGAGGGUAAGGGGGGUG